UAUUAAAAUUUUCAUAUAUUUCUACUGUUAAAAAUUGACGUGAUAAACGGAAUAACUACACAUUUGACAUGCCAAGUGCACCUCAUUUUGAGGUACAUGAUUAGUUUUUAACCGUAAAAAUAGAUGUAAUUUUGUAGUA
rnacentral:pre_miRNA from 1 species